rnacentral:rRNA from 1 species
UACGAAGGGUGCAAACGUUGCUCGGAAUCAUUGGGCGUAAAGCGCACGUAGGCGGCUUUGCAAGUCCCAUGUGAAAGCCCACGGCUUAACCGUGGAAGUGCAUGGGAAACUGCAGAGCUUGAGUACUUAAGAGGAUCGCGGAAUUCCCGGUGUAGAGGUGAAAUUCGUAGAUAUUCGGAGGAACACCAGUGGCGAAGGCGGCUCACUGGUCCAUUACUGACGCUGAGGUGCGAAAGCGUGGGGAGCAAACAGG